CUCCAAUUUCAGUGAUCUUUUUCAGUACAAUCCUUUUGUGCUGGCCUCUCCAUUUCCCCCCGCUUGAUCUCUUCACAGUUCUGUCCAAGAGCCCACCACCCUCAGGUGAAGCCAGCUCUUCCUGCAGAAGUCAGACCAGCAGAAGGAACUUCCAGGCCCAUGGAUUCACACUUCAGAGGGACAAACAAAAAGG